rnacentral:lncRNA from 1 species
AGAGGUGCAAUGAUGUUGAAAUCUACCUAUUUUAUGAAGGAUAACUUGAGUUUUAUCUUCAUGAUUAGAAACAACCAAUGGAUCCUUCUGAGUACUCUACUUUCAUUCUAUUUAUUUAUUUAUUUUUAAUUCAUGUCUAUACAAUGAAGUUUGAAUGCCAUUAAGGUGAUGAGAAAGUUGUCAGAAAAUAUGAUGUCGAUUGAUAAAUACUUCCAGACUACAAUUAUCUGAUUAAUG